CGUCCGAUGAUGAACCUCAAUGCUGUUCACAUCCUGACACGCCGUGACGAGCGCUGUCGAGCUGAGGACG
rnacentral:snoRNA from 1 species